rnacentral:lncRNA from 1 species
UCUCUCUCUUCACUCAAAACCUCUUCUCACGCUCUGCAACUUCAUCCAACUCACGACAAAAAACCUACCGGAGAAGACGGUGGCGGUUGGCCAACCGUGGCGGCGCCGCCUUCUUCUCCUACGACCCCCACCCCAAAAACCUAAACUUCCAAACACAAACCCCACCUAUUUCGACUGGAGAAUCCAAAUCUGGCCUCCCUUUCCCCUAAAUCCGCCUCAAUCACUGAAUCGGCGUUCAAUAAAAAAACACAAGCUUAAACCCUACCGUCAACGAUCUCUCACGCAACCAGCGAAAACCCUAAUUCGCUCUAACAACAAAUAAAAAAACCUAAACAGCAACCAACAAACAAUUGAAACCCUAACCCUAAUUUCGAAAUUAGACCUUCUACAGUUACGAUUUAAGGAAGAUAACAGGGGGCUUUCACUCAGUUUGGAAAGGCGAGUACGAUGGUUCAAAGAGUUUAAGCAGGAAAGAAGGUUUUACUUGAUCGGAGUCAAUCGCUGGCGACGCCUCCCCACCAUGUUUGAGAUAAGUCCUUUCUUACUUUCGAUUCCUCUUCGUCUUCCUCUUUUAUGUCCUUUUCUUUUGGAUGUUGUUUGGUUGUGUAUAAUGAAAAAAAAUUGUUUUUGAUUUCUCUUUUGUUUGUAUGAUUCACCGUCCUCUCCUGUCCUCUGUUAUGGGUGAGGUUAUCCCUACUUAUCCUCUUCGUGAUGAGUUUAAGUCUUAAAAUUAUUUGCCAGGUUUACUUUUCAUCCCAGAUUUCGUGGGAUUGUUAUUUUGUGGAUUCAAUGUUGUUUGAACUGGGUGUUCGUUGUGGUCUUUUGGGCAAAGCAAUAAUCUAUUCAAUUCAUCAAUUUAUUUUCCAGCUUUUUAAGUGUUUAUUGAAAAGACUUUUGACUUGAGUUGUUUUCCUCGCAGGUUACAAAGGUGAAACAACCCUUAUUUUGGGAAGAAGCCUGCGCCAGCUCUAUGAGGCAAUCGGAUUUUGGGGUACUUUGAUUCAAACGACGGUUUUGGCAAUGGCUUGAUUUUGGGGCGUUGGUUCCUGAGAGCCCUGUUCCCAACAGUUGGAUUUGCAUCAACUUUAAUUAUUUAAGUUUAAACAUUAAGCUAUAAUAUUUUGUAUUUUGGAUAAUUAUGUAUUAACUUUGGGACUGUCUGUAACAUAUGUAUGGUUUUAAUCUUAAAACUUCAUUUGUGUUAAUCAAUUAAAGUGCUUUAAACUUUGUCUUGAAA